UACAGGGGGUGCAAACGUUGCUCGGAAUUACUGGGCGUAAAGCGUGCGCAGGCGGUUAUGUAAGACAGAUGUGAAAUGCCCGGGCUUAACCUGGGAACUGCAUUUGUGACUGCAUGGCUAGAGUUUGGCAGAGGGGGGUAGAAUUCCACGUGUAGCAGUGAAAUGCGUAGAUAUGUGGAGGAACACCGAUGGCGAAGGCAGCCCCCUGGGUCAAGACUGACGCUCAUGCACGAAAGCGUGGGGAGCAAACAGG
rnacentral:rRNA from 1 species